rnacentral:rRNA from 1 species
UGGCGGCGUGGAUAAGACAUGCAAGUCGAACGAGAGAAUUGCUAGCUUGCUAAUAAUUCUCUAGUGGCGCACGGGUGAGUAACACGUGAGUAACCUGCCCCCGAGAGCGGGAUAGCCCUGGGAAACUGGGAUUAAUACCGCAUAGUAUCGAAAGAUUAAAGCAGCAAUGCGCUUGGGGAUGGGCUCGCGGCCUAUUAGUUAGUUGGUGAGGUAACGGCUCACCAAGGCGAUGACGGGUAGCCGGUCUGAGAGGAUGUCCGGCCACACUGGAACUGAGACACGGUCCAGACACCUACGGGUGGCAGCAGUCGAGAAUCAUUCACAAUGGGGGAAACCCUGAUGGUGUGACGCCGCGUGGGGGAAUGAAGGUCUUCGGAUUGUAAACCCCUGUCAUGUGGGAGCAAAUUAAAAAGAUAGUACCACAAGAGGAAGAGACGGCUAACUCUGUGCCAGCAGCCGCGGUAAUACAGAGGUCUCAAGCGUUGUUCGGAAUCACUGGGCGUAAAGCGUGCGUAGGCUGUUUCGUAAGUCGUGUGUGAAAGGCGCGGGCUCAACCCGCGAACGGCACAUGAUACUGCGAGACUAGAGUAAUGGAGGGGGAACCGGAAUUCACGGUGUAGCA